AACGAACGCUGGCGGCAUGCCUAACACAUGCAAGUCGAACGAGACCUCCGGGUCUAGUUGCGCACGGGUGUGGAACGCGUGGGAACCUGCCCUUAGGCUCGGAAUAAUUCUCUGUAAGGGGUGCUAAUACCGGGUAACUUCCUCUGAUCACAGAUUUAUCGUCCUUGGUUGGGCCCGCGUUGUCCUGGCCUGUCGCUAGGGUAAAAGCCUACCACGGCUACGCUCCAUAGCUGGGUGGAGAGGAUGGUCCGCCACACUGGGACUGAGACGCGGCCCGGACUCUUACGGGAGGCAGCAGUGGGGAAUCUUGGCAUACCGGCGAAAGCAAGAACCAGCAAGGGCGCGUGAGUGAUGAAGGCGUUAGGGUUGUACAGCUCUUUUAUCCGCGGUGAUAAUGACAGUACCGAAAGAAUAAGCACCGGCUAACUUCGUG
rnacentral:rRNA from 1 species